CAUCCAAUAGGAUGAGGACCUUCCGAGCAAGAACUUCGUGAUUGGCUACUUGGACAGGUUUACAGGUGUUGAGGAGAGACCGUUCGACGACUUCACGUGGGGAGAGCUGAGCGAUGCCGAGCAGGACGACCUGGCCAUCCCGCAGCACCGCAUCCAGUACUUCAAGUACCACGACGAGAGGGUGGGAC